rnacentral:tRNA from 1 species
GGGUCGGUAGUUUAGCUCGGUUAUGACACCGCAUUCACACUGCGGAAGUCGGGAGUUCGAGUCUCCCCCGACCCACCA